rnacentral:lncRNA from 1 species
AACUCCAUAAUUUUUUUUCUUUAAUCAUUGUACGAACAAAAUAAACUGCAGUCAACUUCUCGUCGAUCUCCAGGGGCUGCUGGAACAAAGAUGAGGAAUGAUCUGCGCAGUACAGUCAAAUAGGAUCCCAAUCUUCUUACAGAACAAUCCCUAAAAACUGAAAAUAGAAAAGUAGUAUCAGAGAAAAAGAAAUUACUCCAGCAAAAAUACACAAACAGUCAAAAAAUUUGAAAGUCCAUAAAUAUUACACAUGGAGCCUAACAUCCUUUUUCAGUCUAAAGAGAUCUCAUCAAGAACACCUACUGACACACUCAACCUGCAGCUAAAUGAAUCAAACAGAACACAAAAAUCAAAUUAGUGUGCAUCCAAAUUUUAUAACUGGCCCACAUACUACAUAACAGGAAUUGUUGUUCGUGCCAUUAAGCUUAAAUCAGUAGCACCAAUUUUGUUUGUCCAUAGAAGAAUUUUAGUAUGAAAUCAUGAAGAGUUCCAUACCCUGAUAGUGAAACGUAUGAACUCAAGAGAGUAACUAGAAGAGCGGCGACCCUAAACACAAUUUGAUGUCGGCCAACUCGAAGAUCUGCUCAACCUGGUCAGUGAACGCCAUUACAAGUAGCAACAAGGCUGCAUACAUGGAUAAAACAAUGGCUCAUUACAGCACAAACUAGCAGAAUUGCAAAACACUGUACACUAGCACAAAAUUUCUUCAGUAAAUUCUAGGGAGGAUUCCAGAGAUCAAUGUACUGAAUGAUGAUACCUGGUUUCAGUGUCUUAAGACUUCAGGUGAUGCAGGCUAGUUCUAGAAGCCCUCUCGCUCCAAUGCAUCUG